rnacentral:rRNA from 1 species
UUGCAACCUGAGCUCAGGCGUGACUACCCGCUGAACUUAAGCAUAUCACUUAGCGNNAGGAAAAGAAACUAACAAGGAUUCCCUCAGUAACGGCGAGUGAACGGGGA